rnacentral:lncRNA from 1 species
UUGAACCUUUGCCUAGAAAACAGGAGGCAACAAAGGGGCAUUAUGAAACACUCCCUCAGCACCUCAAGUAUAUAGAUCAGAUCUCUUACAACCCCAACCAGUACUUAAGUCAGACCUAGAUCUAAUUAUAGAGGAAGAAUUGUUAGUUGUCAAGAGGAUGAGUUACAAAAUGAUCUCACAUAGAAAAUACUUUAAGAAAGAGCCCGAAUCAUGUAG